GGUUUCGCCCGUUUCCCAGCUCAGAGCAGAAGACUCAAUUCCGACGGAAGGUCUUUCCUGCACCUGGGCUUUCCGCCCUAAGCAGCAGAUCCAGCAAGGGGGGCAGAACUAUUUCCUUGGCACAACCGGGUCCAGAAACUGUUACUUCCAAGUUAUGCGGAAGUAAAGCAGAGAAGAAGAUUCACACUUGGAGAUGAAAUUGGGUGCUUGUGUUUGAUCUGCCUUUUCUUCAGUUUUCGACAAAUUAGAGUCUGAAAUUAAGCUGAUCUUGGUCAAGAGUCCUCAGACUCCUUCUUAAAUAAAGCUGACUCUCUCUCUCU